GAUCCUGUACCCCAGGCUGGGACCCUCCAAGCUAGCGCUGGAGAGCAGGUGCUCCAGAAAGACGUCAUUUCCGCUGGCCAUGAUGGAGUAAGGCUGCCAGCCCUGGGAGACUGCCCCAAGGACAGCCCUCUAAAUGCUGGGACCCUCCAAGCUAGCGCUGGAGAGCAGGUGCUCCAGACUGACGUCAUUUCCGCUGGCCAUGAUGGAGUAAGGCUGCCAGCCCUGGGAGACUGCCCCAAGGACAGCCCUCUAAAUAACCUUGUGCCGAAGCCCCCACAAGGCCCCAGGCCCAGCCGAGAGGCCAAUAUACCAAAGGCAGAAAAGAAGGCCAGAGAUGUUAUCAAGGCUAAAAAGUCUAGGGAGGCUAAGUCAGAGGUGAUAUACGUAAGCCGCCAAGUAGUUGGUGUGUUGGCACUGCCUCAAACGCUUCUAUC